AACGAACGCUGGCGGCAGGCCUAACACAUGCAAGUCGAGCGCCCCGCAAGGGGAGCGGCAGACGGGUGAGUAACGCGUGGGAAUCUACCCAUCUCUACGGAAUAACGCAUGGAAACGUGUGCUAAUACCGUAUACGUCCUUCGGGAGAAAGAUUUAUACGGAGAUGGAUGAGCCCGCGUUGGAUUAGCUAGGUGGUGGGGUAAAGGCCUACCAAGGCGACGAUCCAUAGCUGGUCUGAGAGGAUGAUCAGCCACACUGGGACUGCGACACGGCCCAGAGUCCUACGGGAGGCAGCAGUGGGGAAUAUUGGACAAUGGGCGCAAGCCUGAUCCAGCCAUGCCGCGUGAGUGAUGAAGGCCCUAGGGUUGUAAAGCUCUUUCACCGGUGAAGAUAAUGACGGUAACCGGAGAAGAAGCCCCGGCUAACUUCGUGCCAGCCGCCGCGGUAAUAC
rnacentral:rRNA from 1 species